rnacentral:rRNA from 1 species
UAUACGACCGUACCGCAAACCGACACUGGUGCGCGAGAUGAGUAUUCUAAGGCGCUUGAGAGAACUCAGGAGAAGGAACUCGGCAAAUUGACACCGUAACUUCGGAAGAAGGUGUGCCCUAUUAGUGUGUAGUGAACAACGAAGCAUGAAUGGGUUGCAAAAAAUCGGUGGCUGCGACUGUUUAUUAAAAACACAGCACUCUGCAAACACGAAAGUGGACGUAUAGGGUGUGACGCCUGCCCGGUGCUGGAAGAUUAAAUGAUGGGGUGCAAGCUCUUGAUUGAAGUCCCAGUAAACGGCGGCCGUAACAAUAACGGUCCUAAGGUAGCGAAAUUCCUUGUCGGGUAAGUUCCGACCUGCACGAAUGGCGUAACGAUGGCCACACUGUCUCCUCCUGAGACUCAGCGAAGUUGAAAUGUUUGUGAUGAUGCAAUCUCCCCGCGGAAAGACGGAAAGACCCCAUGAACCUUUACUGUAGCUUUGUAUUGGACUUUGAACAGAUCUGUGUAGGAUAGGUGGGAGGCUUUGAAGCAGGGUCGCUAGAUCUUGUGGAGCCAACGUUGAAAUACCACCCUGGUGUGUUUGAGGUUCUAACCUAGGUCCAUUAUCUGGAUCGGGGACAGUGCAUGGUAGGCAGUUUGACUGGGGCGGUCUCCUCCCAAAGCGUAACGGAGGAGUUCGAAGGUACGCUAGUUACGGUCGGACAUCGUGACGAUAGUGCAAUGGCAUAAGCGUGCUUAACUGCGAGACUGACAAGUCGAGCAGAUGCGAAAGCAGGACAUAGUGAUCCGGUGGUUCUGUAUGGAAGGGCCAUCGCUCAACGGAUAAAAGGUACUCUGGGGAUAACAGGCUGAUACCGCCCAAGAGUUCAUAUCGACGGCGGUGUUUGGCACCUCGAUGUCGGCUCAUCUCAUCCUGGGGCUGUAGCCGGUCCCAAGGGUAUGGCUGUUCGCCAUUUAAAGAGGUACGUGAGCUGGGUUUAAAACGUCGUGAGACAGUUUGGUCCCUAUCUUCCGUGGGCGCUGCAGAUUUGAGGAAGCCUGCUCCUAGUACGAGAGGACCGGAGUGGACACACCUCUGGUGUAUCGGUUGUCACGCCAGUGGCAUUGCCGAGUAGCUAAGUGUGGAAGAGAUAACCGCUGAAAGCAUCUAAGCGGGAAACUCGUUUCAAGAUGAGAUCUGCCGGGGCCUUGAGCCCCCUAAAGAGUCGUUCAAGACCAGGACGUUGAUAGGUCAGGUGUGGAAGCGU